GCAGCGAANGGUGCUUGCACCUUUCAAGCGAGUGGCGAACGGGUGAGUAACACGUGGAUAACCUGCCUCAAGGCUGGGGAUAACAUUUGGAAACAGAUGCUAAUACCGAAUAAAACUUAGUAUCGCAUGAUACAAAGUUGAAAGGCGCUACGGCGUCACCUAGAGAUGGGUCCGCGGUGCAUUAGUUAGUUGGUGGGGUAAAGGCCUACCAAGACAAUGAUGCAUAGCCGAGUUGAGAGACUGAUCGGCCACAUUGGGACUGAGACACGGCCCAAACUCCUACGGGAGGCUGCAGUAGGGAAUCUUCCACAAUGGGCGAAAGCCUGAUGGAGCAACGCCGCGUGUGUGAUGAAGGCUUUAGGGUCGUAAAGCACUGUUGUAUGGGAAGAAAUGCUAGAAUAGGGAAUGAUUCUAGUUCGACGGUACCAUACCAGAAAGGGACGGCUAAAUACGUGCCAGCAGCCGCGGUAAUACGUAUGUCCCGAGCGUUAUCCGGAUUUAUUGGGCGUAAAGCGAGCGCAGA
rnacentral:rRNA from 1 species